GGUUAUUUUUUGUUAUAUUUUACUGUCAAAAUAGGGCUCCAGAAUUUCAGAUUUUUCUUUUCAAUUAAGCCCUAGACAACCAGGUGAGGGGAAUUCCUUACUAAUCAGUGACCUAGACAACCAGGUGAGGGGAGUUCCUUACUAAUCAGUGACCUAGACAACAAUGUAUUUCAACCACAUACAAUAUGCAUCCCAGCCGAACUGUAAUCUUAUCAGAAACAUGUUUGGUCGUUUUCACAGCUUUCUGUUUCCUUAAAACCGACCAAACUGAUGACAUUUGGAAAUGUUGCACAGAAAAUAUUAAUUUUUUUAUUGUAUAUUCUCUCAAGUCUCUAAACGUCUUUGAUCUGCGAAAGAAGCAGAGAUUACAGAGAAUUUUACCGACGUCAAUUAGAUUGAAGCAUUGUCGAUGGAUGACAUUCUGGUGAGCAAGGGUUUAUUGGGCAAUCUGCGUUACCCACUCCAGUCAACAGAUGGCGAUGUGAGUCUUUAAGGUAAUUUUUCUUGCGUGACGUAUAAUCUAGUGGACGGGAUUCUUCUUCAACAACCUCUGUAACUUGCUAGCAAACAUAGAACCGAAACAUUGAAGCUCUUAAUACCAUUUUUAUAUGAACCUUGGUGUUUUAAACACACUGUAUAUUUAUUUACUAGUUAAUCAAUUUAAUUUCAUAUUUACGUUAUCAGCUAUCUGGUUUGGUAUUAAGUUAGCCCAGCAGUAGGCUAGUCGCUAAUGCUAAAUAGCUAGCUAGCUCACGUCCCCGAACAUGAGCUCACUAAACUACUCUUCCUCUGCUAAAGAAAAUGAGGUCUGCUGGACGGAGAAAGAAACUCCAGGGCUGAACAUUUACGUGAAAGGAGAAGAAUUUACUGUAAAAGAAGAAUUUACUGUAAAAGAAGAGGACGUGGAGGAAGCUAUCACAGUGAAAGAAGAAGAACAGGACAUUACAGUGAAAGAAGAGGACGCAUCAACAUUGAAAGAAGAAGAGGAUGUUAGAGUGAAAGAAGAGGAAGAAGCUUUCAGAGUGAAAGAGGAGGGGAAUGAACAGAAAGAGGAGGGUGCCGUGUUUGUAGUGAAAGAGGAGGAGGAGGUGACUGUCACAUUGAACGAAGAGGAAUAACUUUUUGAAAUGAAGGAGGAGGGGGAGAUUACUGUCACAUUGGAGGAGGAGACCGGAGAUCUGAUGAACACCAGAGAGAGACUAGACUCUCACACUGACAGCGGGAAGAGUCCUUCAGGGGAACAAGACCCAGAGAUGUCCGAACCAGCAAGAAGACACCACUGCUCCCAGUGUGGAAAGAGUUUUUCUAGGUUAGGAAGCCUGAAAUCACAUAAAAGAAUACACACAGGAGAGAAGCCCUACCAAUGCUCCCAGUGUGGAAAGGGUUUUCGCUGGUCAGGGCAAUGGAAAAAGCAUGAUAAAAUACACACAGGAGAAAAGCUUUAACAUUGAACUCAAUGUGAAAAGAGAUUUACUACUUCCGGGACCCUGAAAGAUCACGUACGAAAACAUACAGGAGAGAAACCCUACCACUGCUCCCAGUUUGAGAAUAGUUUACCCAGUGAUCAGACCUGAAAUCACAUGACACAAAUACAAAUACACUGCUACCAGUGUGGAAAGAGUUUAACCACAUCAGGGUCCCUUAAAAACCAUGAGCAAACACAUUCCGUAGAAAAGAUUUUCCGCUGUUCACAUUGUGAAAAGAGUUUUAGGAAUUUACAGUACCUGAAAAGGCAUGAGAAAAGACAUACACAAGAGAAGCCUUUUCACUGCUCCUACUGUGGAAUGAAAUGUACCUGGUUUCAGCAACUGAAAAAGCAUGAGAGAAUCCACAGCGGAGAUAAACGUUAUUAAUGCUCCCAGUGUGGAAACAUAUUUACCCAGUUAAGGCACCUGAAAGACCAUGAGGUAACACACACAGGGGAGAGGCCAUACCACUGCUCCCAGUGUGGAAAAUAAUAUAAAACAUCAAAUGGACUUAAAGUUCAUGAGAGAACACACAUACUGCUCCCACACUUGUCUCAUAUUUUUGACUGAGAAAUAUUGCCUUUGUUUAUGGCACUUGAAAUCAAAUUGUAUGAAGCACUUUCCAAAAUACAUUUAGUUUUUUAUUUAAACACCUGAAUUGAAGAUGGAGUAUGUGAGUUUGAAUGUAGAUACUGAUUACAUUAUAAUUUUCAAACUGUG